rnacentral:rRNA from 1 species
UACGUAGGGGGCAAGCGUUGUCCGGAUUUAUUGGGCGUAAAGAGCGUGUAGGCGGCUUGACAGGUCUGCUGUGAAAAUUCGAGGCUCAACCUCGAGAUGUCGGCGGAAACCGUCUGGCUAGAGUCCGGAAGAGGAGAGUGGAAUUCCUGGUGUAGCGGUGAAAUGCGCAGAUAUCAGGAAGAACACCUAUGGCGAAGGCAGCUCUCUGGGACGGUACUGACGCUGAGACGCGAAAGCGUGGGGAGCGAACAGG